CAGGCUUAACACAUGCAAGUCGAGCGGGCGUAGCAAUACGUCAGCGGCAGACGGGUGAGUAACGCGUGGGAACAUACCUUUUGGUUCGGAACAACCCAGGGAAACUUGGGCUAAUACCGGAUAAGCCCUUACGGGGAAAGAUUUAUCGCCGAAAGAUUGGCCCGCGUCUGAUUAGCUAGUUGGUGAGGUAAUGGCUCACCAAGGCGACGAUCAGUAGCUGGUCUGAGAGGAUGAUCAGCCACAUUGGGACUGAGACACGGCCCAAACUCCUACGGGAGGCAGCAGUGGGGAAUAUUGGACAAUGGGCGCAAGCCUGAUCCAGCCAUGCCGCGUGAGUGAUGAAGGCCCUAGGGUUGUAAAGCUCUUUUGUGCGGGAAGAUAAUGACGGUACCGCAAGAAUAAGCCCCGGCUAACUUCGUGCCAGCAGCCGCGGUAAUACGAAGGGGGCUAGCGUUGCUCGGAAUCACUGGGCGUAAAGGGUGCGUAGGCGGGUCUUUAAGUCAGGGGUGAAAUCCUGGAGCUCAACUCCAGAACUGCCUUUGAUACUGAAGAUCUUGAGUUCGGGAGAGGUGAGUGGAACUGCGAGUGUAGAGGUGAAAU
rnacentral:rRNA from 1 species